rnacentral:rRNA from 1 species
CCAAUAGCGUAUAUUAAAGUUGCUGCAGUUAAAAAGCUCGUAGUUGAAUUUCGGGACCAAUAUGUCGGUCGUGCCUCAGUACGUACUGGCAUUAUUGGUUUCUCCCUUCUGAAGACCCUUGAUGUCAUUCAUUUGGUGUCUUGGGGAAUCAGGACUGUUACUUUGAAAAAAUUAGAGUGUUUAAAGCAGGCUCGCGCUUGAAUACAUUAGCAUGGAAAAAUGAAAUAGGACGUUUGAUUCUAUUUUGUUGGUUUCUAGGAUCGAUGUAAUGAUUAAUAGGGAGAGUUGGGAGCAUUAGUAUUCAAUUGUCAGAGGUGAAAUUCUUGGAUUUAUUUAAGACUAACUACUGCGAAAGCAGUUGCCAAGGAUGUUUUCAUUAAUCAAGAACGAAAGUUAGGGGAUCGAAGACGAUCAGAUACCGUCGUAGUCUUAACCAUAAACUAUGCCGACUAGGAAUCGGAUGAUGUUAAUUUUUUAAUGACUCAUUCGGCGCCUUAC